rnacentral:rRNA from 1 species
CCUACGGGAGGCAGCAGUGGGGAAUAUUGCACAAUGGGCGGAAGCCUGAUGCAGCGACGCCGCGUGAGGGAUGAAGGCCUUCGGGUUGUAAACCUCUUUCAGCAGGGACGAAGCGUGAGUGACGGUACCUGCAGAAGAAGCACCGGCUAACUACGUGCCAGCAGCCGCGGUAAUACGUAGGGUGCGAGCGUUGUCCGGAAUUACUGGGCGUAAAGAGUUCGUAGGCGGUUUGUCGCGUCGUUUGUGAAAACCCGGGGCUCAACUUCGGGCUUGCAGGCGAUACGGGCAGACUUGAGUGUUUCAGGGGAGACUGGAAUUCCUGGUGUAGCGGUGAAAUGCGCAGAUAUCAGGAGGAACACCGGUGGCGAAGGCGGGUCUCUGGGAAACAACUGACGCUGAGGAACGAAAGCGUGGGUAGCAAACAGGAUUAGAUACCCUGGUAGUCCACGCCGUAAACGGUGGGCGCUAGGUGUGGGUUCCUUCCACGGGAUCUGUGCCGUAGCUAACGCAUUAAGCGCCCC